UCUCCUGCCUCAGCCUUCUGAGUAGCUGGGAUUACAGUCGUGUGCCACCACGCCCAGCUAGUUUUUGUAUUUUUAGUAGAGACGGGGUUUUGCCAUGUUGGCCAGGCUGGUGCUUUCAUUAAUUCUUGUUUAUUUUUUAUUAUUUUUUUUUUCUGGUUAAAAAUAGGUCUUGGUGACCUUUGGAAGUGACCUUGAAGGGGAAAAAUUCGCUGAAGGGCUACGUAUAGCCUGAACUGAAGGUUGAGCCUGGUGGCUAAUGCCUGUAAUCCUAGCACUUUGGGAAGCUGAGAUGGGAAGACUGCUUGAGCCCAGGAGUUCUGUGCUGCAGAAGGCCAUGAUCCCACCACUGCACUUCAGUAGGAACAGAGCGAGAACUUGUCUCUAAUAAUAAAAAAAAAAAGUACACAUUAAACCAAAAUGAAAGUAUGAAUUGAUACCAUCAUUGCUUGGCCACUUUCUGGCAGACUGGAUUUGAAGGCUGUGAGUCAGUCAUUAAGGCACAUGAAGAAAUUAAUGAAGACCAUCCAGUGGAAAUUCAUGAAUAUUUGUCAAUGCUUGAGAAUUACACUGGUGCUGUGGAUAAUAUGCUAAAGACCAUGAUGUCUGUUUCUUGAAAUGAGUUGUUGCAGAAGUUGGACCCACUUAAACAAGUGAAAGUGGAUUUAGUUUCUAUGUACACAUUAAAUUUAAAGUUUUGAGUUUAUUUGGCAACUCAAGGAGUUAAUACUAAGAAACAGCUAGUAAAGCAGGAAG
rnacentral:lncRNA from 1 species